rnacentral:rRNA from 1 species
CGUGGGUCAUCUACCCCGAGGUGAGGAAUACCGGCGAGAAAUCGCCGACAAUACCGCAUAUGCUUCGCAAGAAGCAAAGUUCGCAAGAACGCCUCAGGAUGAGCCUGCGCUCGAUUAGCUCGUUGGUGAGGUCAAAGCUCACCAAGGCAACGAUCGAUAGCUGGUCUGAGAGGACGAUCAGCCACACUGGGAUUGAGAACGGCCCAG